rnacentral:rRNA from 1 species
GAGUUUGAUCAUGGCUCAGGAUUAACGCUAGCGGCAGGCCUAAUACAUGCAAGUCGUACGGGAUUUCGGGUAGCAAUAUCUGAAUGAGAGUGGCGCACGGGUGCGUAACACGUAUGCAAUCUACCUUUAACUGGGGAAUAGCUCACCGAAAGGUGAAUUAAUACCGCAUAAAAUCACAGAAGGACAUCCUUCAAUGAUUAAACCUACGGGGGUUAAAGAUGAGCAUGCGUCCGAUUAGCUAGUUGGCGGGGUAAUAGCCCACCAAGGCAACGAUCGGUAGGGGGUCUGAGAGGAUGAUCCCCCACACUGGUACUGAGAUACGGACCAGACUCCUACGGGAGGCAGCAGUAAGGAAUAUUGGACAAUGGGGGCAACCCUGAUCCAGCCAUGCCGCGUGAAGGAUUAAGGCCCUAUGGGUCGUAAACUUCUUUUACAGGAGACAAAACCCCUCUACGUGUAGAGGGCUGAUGGUACUCUGAGAAUAAGGGUCGGCUAACUUCGUGCCAGCAGCCGCGGGUAAUACGAAGGACCCGAGCGUUAUCCGGAUUUAUUGGGUUUAAAGGGUGCGUAGGCGGAUUUACAAGUUCAGUGGUGAAAUCUCCCAGCUUAACUGGGAAACUGCCAUCGAAACUAUUUAUCUUGAG